UCAACAUGAUCUCAUGGGUCAUGAGUGAACCCAAGAGUUCAUCAAGACUCAUCGUUGUGAGAUCUUUAGCUUCUUCAAUAGCUGUGACUUUUGCAUCCCAAUGUUUUGGCAAAGACCUAAGAAUUUUUCUCACAUUUUCCACAUUAGUAUAACAUUUGCCAAGAGAUUUUAAUGAAUUUAUAAUAUUAGUAAAUCUAGUAAACAUCUCAGAAAUAGAUUCUUCAG
rnacentral:lncRNA from 1 species